UACGUAGGGGGCUAGCGUUGUCCGGAUUUAUUGGGCGUAAAGAGCUCGUAGGCGGUUUGUCGCGUCUGCUGUGAAAACCCGAGGCUCAACCUCGGGCCUGCAGUGGGUACGGGCAGACUAGAGUGCGGUAGGGGAGAUUGGAAUUCCUGGUGUAGCGGUGAAAUGCGCAGAUAUCAGGAGGAACACCGGUGGCGAAGGCGGGUCUCUGGGCCGAUACUGACGCUGAGGAGCGAAAGCGUGGGGAGCGAACAGG
rnacentral:rRNA from 1 species